rnacentral:rRNA from 1 species
UACGGGGGGGGCAAGCGUUGUUCGGAAUUACUGGGCGUAAAGGGCGCGUAGGCGGCCUGCUAAGUCGGACGUGAAAUCCCACGGCUCAACCGUGGAACUGCUUGGUAUACUGCUUUUCUUGAGCCACUUAGGGGCUGUCGGAACAAACGGUGGAGCGGUGAAAUGCGUAGAUAUCGGAAGGAACAUCAGUGGCGAAAGCGACUUCCUGGACCAGUACCGACGUUCAGGCACGAAAGCGUGGGGAGCAAACAGG